rfam:Schistosoma curassoni strain Dakar, Senegal genome assembly, scaffold: SCTD_scaffold0004123
AGCUUUCUUAAUCGGUGCCGAUUUUUCAUCAGACAGUAGACCAUCAAUACUGAUGAGAUUCCCAAGUUACAUGGAGCG